GUUGCAGGUGGUUCCAUCUCCCUUCAUCUCGCACAUCAAUACCUCCUUUGGAGGUUAAGAAUGUCACCUGGUGAAAUGAGAGUUUUGCUGCUGAUCCUGUGUUCUCUGAUUGCUGCCCAACCUGCUGAGUGUACCUGGCUUUAUCCUCUUACAGAUCCACAGUUGGAUACAACUCAAGAACCCCAGGGAGCAACGACUGAAGAACCUGGCUCAAGUUGGACUAACA